GCUUUCGGAGCUAACGCGUUAAGUAGACCGCCUGGGGAGUACGGUCGCAAGAUUAAAACUCAAAUGAAUUGACGGGGGCCCGCACAAGCGGUGGAGCAUGUGGUUUAAUUCGAUGCAACGCGAAGAACCUUACCUACUCUUGACAUCCAGAGAACUUUCCAGAGAUGGAUUGGUGCCUUCGGGAACUCUGAGACAGGUGCUGCAUGGCUGUCGUCAGCUCGUGUUGUGAAAUGUUGGGUUAAGUCCCGCAACGAGCGCAACCCUUAUCCUUGUUUGCCAGCGAGUAAUGUCGGGAACUCCAGGGAGACUGCCGGUGAUAAACCGGAGGAAGGUGGGGACGACGUCAAGUCAUCAUGGCCCUUACGAGUAGGGCUACACACGUGCU
rnacentral:rRNA from 1 species